rnacentral:rRNA from 1 species
UACCAGCACCCCGAGUGGUUGGGACGAUUAUUGGGCCUAAAGCAUCCGUAGCCGGUUCUGCAAGUCCUCCGUUAAAUCCACCUGCUCAACAGAUGGGCUGCGGGGGGAUACCGCAGAGCUAGGGGGCGGGAGAGGCAAACGGUACUCAGUGGGUAGGGGUAAAAUCCAUUGAUCCACUGAAGACCACCAGUGGCGAAGGCGGUUUGCCAGAACGCGCUCGACGGUGAGGGAUGAAAGCUGGGGGGAGCAAACCGG